AUGGCCCGGACCUUCAAGAUGAUCAAGGACAUCAAUGACCGUAAAGAACUAUGGAAAAUCAUUGUCAAAGUUCACCACAAAUGGAAGGUUUCGUCCACUGCAAAUGAGAAUUUUGAACUUAUAGUUAUAGACAAAGAAGUGAGUUUUAAUUGUCGAUGUUUGUUUCGUGUUCAUGUCUUAGGUUUCUUUCAUGUUUUUUUCAAUUUUUGUUGUUUGUUUAUCAGUUACUUCCAUGACAAAGAUUUUAUAUGUACUGGUUUUUUGAGUUAUGGUGUUUAUUGA